UCACGGGUCCCCCCUCAGCGCCUGGAGGGGGGGGGGGGGGGGUUGUACCCCUGAGCCCACCGCCAGUUCUGUACGAGUUACUCUCUCCGAGUUCAAACGUGGUUAAAAUCACUUAAAAAAAAAAAAAAAUCACUUUUUUUUUUUUUUUUUUUUUCACGGGUUGGAGGUGAAAAUGAGGCGUGUUAGCAUAAGGAGAAGUAAGAAAAUGGGAAUUAAAUGAGGUGAGACUCGAGUGCCGCUGCAGCUGGCAACGUGCCCUCUUCGGGCGAAGAUUUUCGUCAGAAGGAUUCUUCACGAGGUUUUAGGCCGGGUAUUUAACGGGCUUAAUAGCACAUUAGGAGAUAACUUGAUUCCGUCUGCUGCUUGUUUUUUUUUUUUUUUUUGUCUUUAACAGCAUCCAAAAUUUAAGUAGUGAAACUCGAUUUGCAGCGAGCGAAUGUGCUGUAAAAGCGGUGAUGUUCUGGAUCAGUCAGUGCUGCCAGGCGGGGGCAAGCAGAAGUUCGCCGCAGCCCCCAGCUCUGACGGAUGGAGAUUUCAGCCAGGACAUCUGCACAUGUAGACCCCUGUAAGUCAGAACUCUGCACCAAGCACUUCCUUGUGAAGACUGAACCUUUGAGCCAGCGUUUGCCGUUCAGCCCUUGCCAAAGUGCUUUCUGACUGGAGAGGGGUCCUGGAGAAGAGUACCAUGCUCUGGCGUUGUUGGGCAGCUUUCAACAGGAAUCUUAGAAGCAGCAGCGAAUGCGUUUCACGUCCUGUGUGAUGGCAUUAAAAAAUCUAUGAGAAACGCCA